GUGCUCCCUUCGGCAGCACAUAUACUAAAAUUGGGACGAUAUGGAGAUUAGCAUGGCCCCUGCACAAGGAUGACAUGCAAAAUCGUGAGGCAUUUCAUAUUUUU
ensembl:snRNA U6 U6 spliceosomal RNA